GUAGUUGCGAAGUUUUGUGCAAAGUUUCUUCAUCAGCAGGUCCUAAGAAGUGAAGCAUAUUUGGCUGGAGAUAUGGGAACUUCUGUUCAGAGAGCAUUUUUCAGAAUGGAUGAGAUGAUGCGUGGACAAAGAGGAUGGCGGGAAUUAGCUGUUUUGGGUGAUAAAAUAAACAAGUUCACAGGCAUGAUAGAAGGGUUGAUAUGGUCUCCAAGGGGUAGUGAUAGUAAUGACCAACCUGAUAAUUGGGCUUUUGAAGAGGGCCCGCACUCUGACUUUUCUGGACCGACUUCUGGGAGCACAGCUUGUGUUGCAAUUAUUAGAAAUCACCAACUUGUUGUUGCGAAUGCUGGUGAUUCUCGAUGUGUGAUAUCUAGAAAAGGCCAGGCAUAUAAUCUGUCUAGAGAUCACAAACCUGAUCUUGAGGCUGAGAAAGACAGGAUUCUAAAAGCUGGUGGUUUCAUACAUGCAGGACGGGUCAAUGGCAGUUUGAAUCUUGCAAGAGCUAUAGGUGACAUGGAAUUCAAGCAGAAUAAAUUUUUGCCUCCAGAAAAACAAAUUGUAACAGCCAAUCCAGACAUAAACACUGUUGAGCUUUGCGAUGAUGAUGAAUUUAUUGUGCUAGCAUGUGAUGGAAU
rnacentral:misc_RNA from 1 species